ensembl:lncRNA PURPL p53 upregulated regulator of p53 levels
CUCUUGAGCUCUUGUGGUGACCUGGGAAUCAAUGUGUGAGGUGGUGCUAUGUAGCAGGAACCCCUCUUGCUUUGCAAAUAGUUUUUUGUUUGUUUUCCUUUUUGCCCAAUAGAGCCCUGCUCUACUGACCCUUCAAUGUGCCCGUGUGCCUAAAUAUUCCUGGUCGUGUGAAAAGAACCCAGGUAUUAGCUGAACUAAGGAGCACAAUUCUGCAACAUUUUGGCACCCAAACACGGGGCUUGAGAAAUGAAUGCAAUUGGAGAAACUGGUUGUUUUACCAGGCGUUGAUUGGAAAUGUGUGCUUCCCUUUAAGCAGUCAAGCUCAACUUGCAGAACUGAUGGGAACCCCUUGGGAAAACUGGCCUCAAAUGUUUGUCUACACAGUCCACAUACAGGGUUCUUAACCUGCGACUGACCCUGCUUGUGCCUGUGAACCAACCAACAAUCUCUGGCUGCAGCUCAGAAAGGACAAAAGAGAAUGGCAUAUUUAACUAUCCGGCUAUUUUGGAGAUUGAAAAAAGAAGACCUGAUUUAUCAUGUGCAAUAUCUCACACAUCUGUCAUUUCUAUUCUACCGCAAUUCGAUGGAGUCUUGUUCUGUGGUCCAGGCUAGAGGGCAGUGGCAUGAUCUCGGCUCACUACAAGCUCUGCCUCCCGGGUUCACGCCAUUCUCCUGCCUCAGCCUCCUGAGUAGCUGGGACUACAGGCGCCCGCCACCACGCCUGGCUAAUUUUUUGUAUAUUUACUAGAGAUGGCUAGUGUUAGCCAAGAUGGUCUCGAUCUCCUGACCUCGUGAUCUGCCCACCUCAGCCUGCCAAAGUGCUGGGAUUACUGGCGUGAGCCACCGUGCCUGGCCAGCAUCCUCUAAUUAUUAUUCAUAGUUUGUGAAUUUAGGCCUACGUGAAUAAUAAUAUAAUAUUUACUAUGAUGUUACUAUCUACCAACCUUAUUUUUCUUUUCUAUAAAAUAGGAGCCAAAAUAAUAUUUAUGUCAUACCUUAUGAAGUUAAAAUAAAAUAUAACGAAUGAGGGGCUUAACAAUGAGUGUCAUUUUGUAAUUACUUUGUACCAUUAUUAAUUGCUGAGACAGAAUAUGGUAUCACUAGUCAUCUGUAUCUAUUGCACAACUUUAUUUUGAUUCAUUCCUUACUAUUUUGCAUAGAUAGGCCUAAAUUUUUGAUCCACUGCUCAACUCCUGUCUUUAAACCAUUGGUUCUCAAAUAGAGUUGAUUUUGACACCUAGGGAACAUUUGACAACAUAUGGAGAUAUUGUUGAUUUUACAGGGCAACCCUUCAUAAGCACAGAAUUAUCUGGCCCCAAAUGUCGACAGUGUCAAGUUCGAGAAACUCUGCACUAGGCUUUUCUGUCUGGUUACUCACCCCUCUUCUUUGCACUGCCCCCAGUUUUAUGGAUAUUGAAUUCCUGAUUUCUCACUAUAUUAAUUGCACUUAUAGAUAUUCUAAAUUGAUUUGUAUAUAUCUUCCUAGUUUGACCCAUUGCUUUUAACUGAAUUUUACUGGGCUUUUAUAAAGGCCAUUUCCAUGGAGUUUAGUCAUUAUCUUCACCAAAUUUUUAUUUGCUUCAGUCUGGGGAGGAACUCUAUAUUAAAAAAUAAAAACAAACCCAAAAA